rnacentral:rRNA from 1 species
UACGAAGGGUGCAAGCGUUACUCGGAAUUACUGGGCGUAAAGCGUGCGUAGGUGGUUUGUUAAGUCUGAUGUGAAAGCCCUGGGCUCAACCUGGGAAUUGCAUUGGAUACUGGCAGGCUAGAGUGCGGUAGAGGGUAGUGGAAUUCCCGGUGUAGAGUGAAAUGCGUGAGAGAUCGGGAGGAACAUCGUGUGGCGAAGGCGACUACCUGGACCAGCACUGACACUGAGG